rnacentral:rRNA from 1 species
GUAGGGGGCUAGCGUUGUCCGGAAUCAUUGGGCGUAAAGCGCGCGUAGGCGGCCUCGUAAGUCCGCUGUAAAAGUCAAAGGCUCAACCUUUGAAUGCCGGUGGAUACUGUGAGGCUAGAGUCCGGAAGAGGCGAGUGGAACUCCUGGUGUAGCGGUGGAAUGCGCAGAUAUCAGGAAGAACACCAACGGCGAAGGCAGCUCGCUGGGACGGUACUGACGCUGAGGCGCGAAAGCGUGGGGAGCAAACAGGAUUAGAUACCCUGGUAGUCCACGCCGUAAACGAUGGGCAUUAGGUGUGGGAGGUGUCGACUCCUCCCGUGCCGGCGCUAACGCAUUAAAUGCCCCGCCUGGGGAGUACGGCCGCAAGGCUAAA